rnacentral:rRNA from 1 species
CCUACGGGAGGCAGCAGUGAGGAAUAUUGGUCAAUGGGCGCGAGCCUGAACCAGCCAAGUCGCGUGAGGGAAGACGGUCCUAUGGAUUGUAAACCUCUUUUGUCGGGGAGCAAAAGACGCCACGCGUGGCGUUCCGAGAGUACCCGAAGAAAAAGCAUCGGCUAACUCCGUGCCAGCAGCCGCGGUAAUACGGAGGAUGCGAGCGUUAUCCGGAUUUAUUGGGGUUAAAGGGUGCGCAGGCGGAGGAUCAAGUCAGCGGUAAAAUUGAGAGGCUCAACCUCGUCGAGCCGUUGAAACUGGUUUGCUUGAGUGAGCGAGAGGUAUGCGGAAUGCGUGGUGUAGCGGUGAAAUGCAUAGAUAUCACGCAGAACUCCGAUUGCGAAGGCAGCAUACCGGCGCUCAACUGACGCUCAUGCACGAAAGUGUGGGUAUCGAACAGGAUUAGAUACCCCAGUAGUC